rnacentral:rRNA from 1 species
AUUGAACGCUAGCGGGAUGCCUUACACAUGCAAGUCGAACGGCAGCACGGACUUCGGUCUGGUGGCGAGUGGCGAACGGGUGAGUAAUGUAUCGGAACGUGCCUAGUAGCGGGGGAUAACUACGCGAAAGCGUAGCUAAUACCGCAUACGCCCUACGGGGGAAAGCAGGGGAUCGCAAGACCUUGCACUAUUAGAGCGGCCGAUAUCGGAUUAGCUAGUUGGUGGGGUAACGGCUCACCAAGGUGACGAUCCGUAGCUGGUUUGAGAGGACGACCAGCCACACUGGGACUGAGACACGGCCCAGACUCCUACGGGAGGCAGCAGUGGGGAAUUUUGGACAAUGGGGGAAACCCUGAUCCAGCCAUCCCGCGUGUGCGAUGAAGGCCUUCGGGUUGUAAAGCACUUUUGGCAGGAAAGAAACGUCAUGGGUUAAUACCCCGUGAAACUGACGGUACCUGCAGAAUAAGCACCGGCUAACUACGUGCCAGCAGCCGCGGUAAUACGUAGGGUGCAAGCGUUAAUCGGAAUUACUGGGCGUAAAGCGUGCGCAGGCGGUUCGGAAAGAAAGAUGUGAAAUCCCAGAGCUUAACUUUGGAACUGCAUUUUUAACUACCGAGCUAGAGUGUGUCAGAGGGAGGUGGAAUUCCGCGUGUAGCAGUGAAAUGCGUAGAUAUGCGGAGGAACACCGAUGGCGAAGGCAGCCUCCUGGGAUAACACUGACGCUCAUGCACGAAAGCGUGGGGCGCAAACAGG